UGCUACAAUAAGUAGUACAGAGGGUUGCCAAGCCGUAAGGUGGAGCUAAUCCCUUAAAACUACUCUCAGAUCGGAUUAUAGGCUGAAACUCACCUACAUGAAGCUGGAGUUACUAGUAAUCGCAGAUCAGAAUGCUGCGGUGAAUGCGUUCCCGGGGCUUGUACACACGGCACGUUUAACCACGGGAGUUGGAGACGCCCGAAGCCGAUUAUCUAACAUUUUGGAAGAAGGCGUCGAAGGUGGAAUCAAUAACUGGGGUGAAGUCGUAACAAGGUAGCCGUAUCGGAAGGUGCGGCUGGAUCACCUCCUUUCUAAGGAGA
rnacentral:rRNA from 1 species